CUAGGAAAGGCUCAAGAUCACUC
rnacentral:piRNA from 1 species